ACACCAUUGGUGUAGGGGUUAACAUGGGAGCUUCCCAUUACGUAAGUGGCCAACGUCAGUUGGAUGAUUGCUCCCGCGCGGGGUUCGAGUCCCCGAUGGUGUA
rnacentral:tRNA from 1 species